rnacentral:rRNA from 1 species
AGUCGCCUCGCACCCGCCGGCCUCCCUCCGCCUCCCGCCGGCGGAGCCCCUCGCCGGGGACGCCCGGGGCCCCUUCUGCACGCGCGUCCACCUCCGCGGCCGCGCCUCCCGCUUCCGCGACCCGUCCCGCUUCUUCCACGCCCUGCGGUUCCGCGCCAACGCCUCCCGCCCCGACGCCCUCGAGCUCUGCUUCCACCGGAAUGCCACGAUUGGCCCUUGCAAGUGCGCCGCGUCGCAGUGGCACAAGGUGCCCAAGAGCGGGCUCUGGGCGCAGUCCCUCUCGCCGUACGACAACCGGAUCCUCGACUUCCGGAUGCCGGCGGACCCUUCGAGAUCCGUCGUGGUGUCCACGGAGGAAGAGUUCUUGCUCCAUAGGGUGGUGUUCCUGGUGUUGGGGAUGGUGCUGAUGGCUCUGGCGCACACGCUUAGCCAGUCACUGGUGUUCUACUAUGGUGGCGCCAUGACCAUCGGCAUUUUCCUUGUGGUGCUGAUUAUACUCUUUCAGGGAAUGAAGCUUUUGCCUACUGGCAGAAAGAGUUCGCUUGCUAUUUUUGCAUACUCUUCAGUUGUUGGCAUGACAACAUAUUUUCUGCACUAUUUGUCGGGACUUCUGCGUUCAAUUCUUGUGGAAAUGGGAAUCGCCGAAGACAUGCAUAAUCCUGUAUCUGGGUAUAUUCCUUCUCGUUUGCGUCAUCCUAGCUGGAGCCUGGUUUGGUUUCUGGGGUGUCCGUAAACUUGUUCUAACGGAAGAAGGAUCUGUUGAUGCUGGCGUGGCCUAUUUCGUCGAGUGGGCUAUCUUGAUUGUUUCUGCUGUCUUGAUCCUCCAGAGUUCUCUGGACUAUCUCCUUGCAUUUGCAGCUUUAGUCUUUUGCAUAAUCAUCAAGACAGUUUCAAGGAUUGAAGGGAUGUCAGGAUUUAUGCGCCAUUUAUCAAGUGGACUUUCCAAGGGAAUCACACGCGGUCUCUCCCGCUAUGAAGAUUUGGGAGGGUAUUCCAACACGAAUGGAACUCACCAAGAUGGGUUCAGCAAGCUUCAUGGUGAAUACCUGAAACAUACGCCAAGAAGAAAUUCACCUCUUUCAGGCUCACAGAAGAAAAUAUCGUCACAAGUUCUUGAUAGGGACAGCUACUAUUCGACCUACCACACUACCCCAGAGAGGAGAAAGUUUACGAAAGAGGAAUACGAAGCAUUCACCAAAGAAGAGACAAGAAAAGGUAUGCAGCAGUUACUGUCCUCGCCGGAUUUCAACAGGUGGGCGCUCGCCAAUGCGGACAGGAUAUCAGUGACUCCAGCAGGAUCUGGACGAAGCAGCAGCAGAAGCCAGGAGCGACAUCGUUUCUUCGGAUUGUUUUAAGUCGUGCGUGAUUGCCACUCAGACAGAUUUGUCGGUUAUCCUGACGUGUUGAGUGCUUGCAGCAACAUGUGUGUCUAGUGGUUCUACGAAGGAUAGGAAAGGAUAGCAGCUGAAUGUUACCACGUUUUUGGUGGCAACAGUCUUACAGUCUAGUGUUAGGUUAGCUAUGAGUUCAAACAUCUUGCUAUUUUUGUGUGCUCGGUAAAAUUCUGAUUGAGAAGUCUUCCCGUACUGGCAAGCACGAUCCAGAUUGUUAUCUAGGUUGUAAAUGUAGUGAAAUUAUUGUGGGUGGAGUUGAAUGAGGACAAUUAUUAUGGUUCCAGUGCUGCACCUAAGUUAACCCGGCAGUUC